rnacentral:rRNA from 1 species
UACGAAGGGGGCGAGCGUUGUUCGGAUUUACUGGGCGUAAAGGGCGCGCAGGCGGCUCAUUUUGUCAGGCGUGAAAGCCCCGGGCUUAACCUGGGAACUGCGUUUGAUACGGGUGGGCUAGAGUUCGGGAGAGGAGAGUGGAAUUCCCAGUGUAGAGGUGAAAUUCGUAGAUAUUGGGAAGAACACCGGUGGCGAAGGCGGCUCUCUGGACCGAGACUGACGCUGAGGCGCGAAAGCGUGGGGAGCAAACAGG